GACGAACGCUGGCGGCGCGCUUAACACAUGCAAGUCGCGCGAAGCGGCGGACGGGUGAGUAACACGUGAGUAAACUGCCUUAGACAUUGGGAUAGCCUCGGGAAACCGGGAUUAAUACCAAAUGGUCUAAGAUGGACUCGCGUCCCAUUAGCUGGUUGGUGAGGUAACGGCCCACCAAGGCGACGCUGGGUAGCCGGCCGGAGAGGGUGAGCGGGCACAGUGGAACUGAGAAGCGGUCAAAACUCUGCGGGAGGGAGCAGUGGGGAAUGGUGCACAAUGGAGGGAACUCUGAUGCAGAGACGCCGCGUGAACGAAGAAGGCUUUCGAGUCGUAAAGUUCUUUUAUAUGGGAAGCGGUACCAUAAGAAAAAGCCCCGGCUAACUACGUGCCAGCAGCCGCGGUAAUAC
rnacentral:rRNA from 1 species